rnacentral:ncRNA from 1 species
AUCGUUCAGUCCCAUAAGGGACCGCAAGUAAGCCGACACGGAACGGA